rnacentral:rRNA from 1 species
GGUUUGAUCAUGGCUCAGAUUGAACGCUGGCGGGAUGUUUACACAUGCAAGUCGAACGGCAGCACGGACUUCGGUCUGGUGGCGAGUGGCGAACGGGUGAGUAAUGUAUCGGAACGUGCCUAGCGGGGGAUAACUACGCGAAAGCGUAGCUAAUACCGCAUACACCCUUCGGGGGAAAGCGGGGACCUUCGGGCCUCGCACUAUUAGGAGCGGCCGAUAUCGGAUUAGCUAGCUGGUGGGGUAACGGCUCACCAAGGCGACGAUCCGUAGCUGGUUUGAGAGGACGACCAGCCACACGGGACUGAGACACGGCCCAGACUCUACGGGAGGCAGCAGUGGGGAAUUUUGGACAAUGGGGGAAACCCUGAUCCAGCCAUCCCGCGUGUGCGAUGAAGGCCUUCGGGUUGUAAAGCACUUUUGGCAGGAAAGAAACGGCACGGGAUAAUACCCCGUGCAACUGACGGUACCUGGCAGAAUAAGCACCGGCUAAUACGUGCCAGCAGCCGCGGUAAUAAAGGGACAGGGUGCAAGCGUUAAUCGGAAUUACUGGGCGUAAAGCGUGCGCAGGCGGUUCGGAAAGAAAGAUGUGAAAUCCCAGAGCUUAACUUUGAACUGUAUUUUUAACUACCGAGUCAGAGGCCGAGGGAGGUGGAAUUCGCGUGUGUAGCAGUGAAAUGCGUAGAUAUGCGAGGGAGCACCGAUGGCGAAGGUGCAGCCUCCUGGGAUAACACUGACGCUCAUGCACGAAAGCGUGGGGAGCAAACAGGAUUAGAUACCCUGGUAGUCCACGCCCUAAACGAUGUCAACUAGCUGUUGGGGCCUUCGGGCCUGGUAGCGCAGCCAACGCGUGAAGUUGACCGCCUGGGGAGUAUGGUCGCAAGAUUAAAACUCAAAGGAAUUGACGGGGACCCGCACAAGCGGUGGAUGAUGUGGAUUAAUUCGAUGCAACGCGAAAACCUUACCUACCCUUGACAUGUCUGGAAUCCCGAAGAGAUUUGGGAGUGCUCGCAAGAGAACCGGAACACAGGUGCUGCAUGGCUGUCGUCAGCUCGUGUCGUGAGAUGUUGGGUUAAGUCCCGCAAACGAGCGCAACCCUUGUCAUUAGUUGCUACGAAAGGGCAUCAUCGAGACUGCCGGUGACAAACCGGAGGAAGGUGGGGAUGACGUCAAGUCCUCAUGGCCCUUAUGGGUAGGGCUUCACACGUCAUACAAUGGUCGGGACAGUGGUCGCCAACUCAUGAGGGGGAGCCAAUCCCAAGAAACCUGAUCGUAGUCCGAUCGCAGUCUGCAACUCGACUGCGUGAAGUCGGAAUCGCUAGUAAUCGCGGAUCAGCAUGUCGCGGUGAAUACGUUCCCGGGUCUUGUACACACCGCCCGUCACACCAUGGGAGUGGGUUUUACCAGAAGUAGUUAGCCUAACCGUAAGGAGGGCGAUUACCACGGUAGGAUUCAUGACUGGGGUGAAGUCGUAACAAGGUAG